GACGAACGCUGGCGGCGUGCCUAAUACAUGCAAGUCGAACGCUUUUUCUUUCACCGGAGCUUGCUCCACCGAAAGAAAAAGAGUGGCGAACGGGUGAGUAACACGUGGGUAACCUGCCCAUCAGAAGGGGAUAACACUUGGAAACAGGUGCUAAUACCGUAUAACGCUAUUUUCCGCAUGGAAGAAAGUUGAAAGGCGCUUUUGCGUCACUGAUGGAUGGACCCGCGGUGCAUUAGCUAGUUGGUGAGGUAACGGCUCACCAAGGCAACGAUGCACAGACGACCUGGGAGGGUGAUCGGCCACACUGGGACUGAGGCACGGCCCAGACUCCUACGGGAGGCAGCAGUAGGGAAUCUUCGGCAAUGGAUGAAAGUCUGACCGAGCAACGCCGCGUGAGUGAAGAAGGUUUUCGGAUCGUAAAACUCUGUUGUUAGAGAAGAACAAGGAUGAGAGUAGAACGUUCAUCCCUUGACGGUAUCUAACCAGAAAGCCACGGCUAACUACGUGCCAGCCGCCGCCGUAA
rnacentral:rRNA from 1 species